GCCAUGAGUGAGCUUGGAAGUGGUGUGUGCAUGCCCAUGCAUGCAUGGCUUGCCAAUAAGUGAAAUGCAGAAACAAAGAUGCGGAGCACGCAGACAUGAAGCAAGUGUAGAUAAAGAGGAAAACUGUAAUGUUUGUAAAAAUUUCUUUUUCUUCAUCUUUGACUGGUUUGACUAGGUGUUUGGUGAGUGGGCCCCAAUGUUGUUUCAUUGCCUUAAUUUUCGGAUCUUGCCUGAUUGUGGAUUAUUGGUUUUUCCUGUUUUUGAUUAGUGGAGGCUUUUAAUUGAGUUUAUGGGUUGCUUUUAUAGGCUUAGUUGUGCAACCAAUCUUCUUGCUCUCCAAACUCUCUUAUCCUUGAAACAACUCAACCUUGGCCGAAUUUUGGUGUCAUUUUCUUUUCUCUUUAUGCUUGGUUUUUGAGUGGAACUUGUCACCAACAAGCUUAGAGAUCCAUACCGAGCUGUAGUUCGCGGGACUUGGUGAACCCAACUCUGUAGCUCGGAGCCAGGAGAAGAUCAUGUUUAGGACUGGGGGGUGUCAGAGAGUCGUAUUGUCUGCGUUAUCGAUGAUC